rnacentral:rRNA from 1 species
CGAGUGAGCGGGAAGAGCUCAAAUUUAAAAUCUGGCAGGCUACGCUUGUCCGAAUUGUAAUCUCGAGAAGUGUUUUCCGCGUUGGCCUGUGUACAAGUCCCUUGGAACAGGGCGUCAUAGAGGGUGAGAAUCCCGUCCUUGACACAGACACCCAAUGCUUUGUGAUACACUCUCAAUGAGUCGAGUUGUUUGGGAAUGCAGCUCAAAAUGGGUGGUAAAUUCCAUCUAAAGCUAAAUACUGGCGAGAGACCGAUAGCGAACAAGUACCGUGAGGGAAAGAUGAAAAGCACUUUGGAAAGAGAGUCAAACAGUACGUGAAAUUGUUGAAAGGGAAACGAUUGAAGUCAGUCGUGCCUGCCUAGUCUCAGCCUUUUGGUGUACUACUAGGUCGGCAGGUCAGCAUCAGUUUGGGAGGAUUAACAAGGGAGUUAGGAAUGUGGCAACCUCGGUUGUGUUAUAGCCUAGCUUCGCAUUGAUCUUGCUGGACUGAGGAACGCAGUGCGCCCGCAAGGGUUGGUCUUCGGACACAUUCGCACUUAGGAUGCUGGCAUAAUGGCUUUAAACGACCCGUCUUGAGC